UACGUAGGGUGCAAGCGUUGUCCGGAAUUAUUGGGCGUAAAGAGCUCGUAGGCGGUUUGUCGCGUCUGCUGUGAAAACUCGGGGCUUAACCCCGGGCCUGCAGUGGGUACGGGCAGACUAGAGUGCGGUAGGGGAGACUGGGAUUCCUGGUGUAGCGGUGAAAUGCGCAGAUAUCAGGAGGAACACCGGUGGCGAAGGCGGGUCUCUGGGCCGUAACUGACGCUGAGGAGCGAAAGCGUGGGGAGCGAACAGG
rnacentral:rRNA from 1 species